UGGGGAAUCUUGCGCAAUGGGCGAAAGCCUGACGCAGCGACGCCGCGUGAGGGAAGAAGGCCCUCGGGUUGUAAACCUCUUUCGGCAGGGAAGAAGCCGCAAGGUGACGGUACCUGCAGAAGAAGCCCCGGCCAACUACGUGCCAGCAGCCGCGGUAAGACGUAGGGGGCGAGCGUUGUCCGGAUUUAUUGGGCGUAAAGCGCGCGUAGGCGGCCGCUCAAGUCGGAUGUGAAAAUCCGGGGCUCAACCCCGGACCUGCAUUCGAUACUGGGUGGCUAGAGGCAGGUAGGGGAGAGCGGAAUUCCUGGUGUAGCGGUGAAAUGCGCAGAUAUCAGGAGGAACACCGGUGGCGAAGGCGGCUCUCUGGGCCUGUCCUGACGCUCAGGCGCGAAAGCUAGGGGAGCAAACAG
rnacentral:rRNA from 1 species